rnacentral:rRNA from 1 species
GACGAACGCUGGCGGCGUGCUUAACACAUGCAAGUCGAACGGAAAGGCCCUGCUUGCAGGGUGCUCGAGUGGCGAACGGGUGAGUAACACGGGGGUGAGCUGCCCCGUAUGUUGGGAUAAGCCUGGGAAACUGGGUCUAAUACUGGAGAGGACCAUGCUGUAGGGGGUGUGGUGGGGAGAUUGGUUUCGGGAAGGGGUGAGCUCGCGGCCUAUCAGCUUGUGGGUGGGGUAAUGGCCUACCAAGGCGUCGACGGGUAGCCGGCCUGAGAGGGUGGACGGCCACAUUGGGACUGAGAUGCGGGCCAGACUCCUACGGGAGGCAGCAGUGGGGAAUAUUGCACAAUGGGCGCAAGCCUGAUGCAGCGACGCCGCGUGGGGGAUGACGGCCUUCGGGUUGUAAACUCCUUUCAGCCAUGACGAAGCCCUUGUGGUGACGGUAGUGGUAGAAGAAGCACCGGCUAACUACGUG